rnacentral:misc_RNA from 1 species
GUGAGUCAUCGAAUCUUUGAACGCACAUUGCGCUCUCUGGUAUUCCGGAGAGCAUGCUUGUUUGAGUAUCAGUAAAACACCCUCAGCUCCUCUCUUGUUUCGACAGAAGAGGGGUUGGACUUGAGUGAUCCCAACGGCAGUGAUUUUCGAAGAACUGUUGGCGGGUCGCUUGAAAUGCAGGUGCGGCAGGACACAUCUUCUGAGCUAUAAGCAUUACUUAUUUAGUCCCGUCAAACGGAUUAUAUCUAUUGCUGCAGCUAACAUAAAGGUCGAUUGUCCUUGUGCCCGACUGAUGCAGGA